GGCCUCGUCCCAUGACCCGUUUCUAAAUAAACCUAUUCCCCAAUUCAAUUAUUCAAUUGCACAAAUUUCCUUUCAAUUUUUUAUUCCAAUCCUCUCCUGCUACAAGUCACUGUUCGUCGCCUAGCCUUCCUUCGCUCCGUCGCUGGACUUCAUUUUCUAGAGUCUCAAACUUCGUGACUCCGUCAUUCAUUUGUGUUGUUGUGCUGUACCGUGCCAUGCAUCCUUGUUUAUUCAACCAUGAUAGUUCGAGGCUUCGAGCCUCCGAGGUAGACGGUGUCGACGAUGCUUUCGACAAUCGACAGUAGGCAUGAGGCACCGAGCUGUAGCUCUAAUUGGUAAAGGUGAAGCCUUGAUUUCCAUCCCAAUUCCUAUUAUCGAUUUUGAAGCUCUUUUUCCCUUAUUUUUGGUUGUUUUGAUUUGUGUAAAUAAUAAAAAUAUUAGGCAUCAUAUACUGGUGAAUAUUGAUUGGACAUAAGCUAUGAAUUUGGCAGCCCUCUGAGAAUGUGAUGGAACUUGGAAAAGGGAGUAUAGCUAGAGUUUUCUAAUCCCAGUUCAGAUAGCCAUUUUUCAAAUUACAACGGGUGUUUUCGUUUUAAUUCUAUUCUAUUCAACACAAAUGAUAGUUAUGUGCAAAUGCAGGAUUUGGAAAAGAAGGAGAAUGAACUCCAAGCUAAGGAGGCUGAACUGAAAAGAGGGAACAGGGAAACUUAUGUUGCAUACUCAGAAGCUUUUUAAUUUUGUCAAAAUAAGAUACAGUUAUUUUGAUUAUACCAUGUGUUCUACUUGUGUUAGCUCCUAAUCUUCUUUUUUUAUUUUUUCGUGGAUGGCCUCAAAAGGUCAAAACUUUAAUUUAAUU
rnacentral:lncRNA from 1 species